UGUUGGCUGAUAUGUCUAUUUUGUUGGCUUACAUGUUGCUUUUGUUUGCUGAUUUCAUCCUUUUGUUGGCUGAUAAGUACCUUUUGUUGGCAGAUAAGUACCUUUUGUUGGCUGAUAUAUUCCUCUUGUUGACUAAUAUGUAUCUUUUGUUGGCUAAUAUAUUCCUUUUGUUGACUGAUACGUUUUUAUUAAUGACUGUUAUGUCCUUAAUGUUGACCGAUAUCAGACAUCAAAUGGCUGAUAUGUCAAUUUUAAUGGCUGAUAUGCAUCAUUGGCUAAUAUAUUUUUAUUUCCUUCUCACUUUCUCUCUACUCCUAACUCUUCUUCACAAAAUUAUGAGGAAAAUCAUAUAAGCCAACUAGCCAAGAGCCCAAGAUCAGCCAAGAUUUCUUCCUCUCUCUUCUAAUCCUGUCAUCACCAAGGCACCAACACAACCACCACAGCACCACCACACUCUCUCUCCUUCUUGCCGCCCCACCCACCACCAACACAACCAUGCACCAUCGCACUCUUUCUCCUUCCUACCCAGCCCCCACCCACCACCAACACAACCGCCACCACACUCUUUCUUCUUCCUGCCGCAGCCACGCCGGAGCCCAGCCCAACCAUGCAAACCAACAGCGAUUCGCACCCAGGCGGAGUGCCCAACCAUGAAAACAACAGCGAUUCGCACUCGCCUCCACCAGCAGCGAUUCGCACUCGCCUCCACCACCAACGAACGCCCCCACCACCAGCGAACGCCUCUUCCUCCGCCAUAACCUCCGCAUCCAUCAUCUUCUUUCAAACCGAGAGGAGCAGAGGAGAGGGAAAUAGAAGGGAAGAGAAGAAGGAGAGAGAAAGAGAAGGGAAAAGAAAACGGCUUGCCGCUUAAACAGUUGGGUGCGGGCGUGCGGCAAGUUUGUGUUUUUUCUAUGGUACUAAAUACUUUUUUCAUAAUUUUUAAUUUUGAUGCAAUUAUCUUUAAGUUUAUGAAUGUAAAACUAAAGACACACAUAUAAUACAAAUACAAGCAAAUUGACAUUUAAUAAUAUCACAUGAUGUGAAGUUUUAUUAUAAAUAUCCAACUUAUGGAUGUUGACUAAUCUAAUUGGUUAAAAACCUAAAGUUUUGGAGUAGUAUUUAGAUCUAUCUAUGAGUCUAUGACUAUGUCAUUUAAAUUUUUUUGCCUUUGCCUAAGCAUAAAAAAAAAAAACCAUAAAUCCUUGAGUUCCAAAUUGAUACACAAUAUAACAAUACCAAUUUAUGAAAAAAAUUAAAUAAGGUAGUCAAUUAGAACUAACCCCCACAUAGAAAGUUUAACAACGCUCAAUUAAUAUGACUUAGGUGAAAAAAUAUACACACGUGUAUUCGGUCAAUCAAUCAACACCUAUAAAUUUUUCUUUUGCGUUGGGAAUUAUCCAAGUCUACUACAAUACGUUUAGAUAGUCUAUAUAACCAAUCAAUUGUAUAUGUCAAAGCUUUUACAUAUGAACAAGGGGAAUGACGUAGUAACCUAAUGGUAAGCAUAACUAUUCGUUACUUCCUAUUAUUUUUACCAAGUUUUAAUCAUUGAGAAAUAGAGCUGAUCAAAGAUGGCCCGUCUUGAAUUUGGCCGGGUUUUGGGCAGCUUUUUUCGACCGGCCCAGUUUUAAUUUUUUUGGACGGACUUGGGAAUGCAUUUUAGAGCUAUUUUAGUUCUUUUUUUUGGCCUGGCCCGAAAAUGGCCCUAGAAGCCCGCACGACCCGGCCGUUUUAGGCGGGUAUGAGCAUGGAAUUUUUGCCCGAAACUAGGCCCGACCCACCCCGAGGGAUGGGCUAUUUUUUAAUCCUUGGCCCGCCCAUUGGGUCUAUCAAGAAAGCCUUGUCCAAAGCUAUGGGCCGGCCCAACACUUGAACUUAAAGAGUUUGGGCUUUGUCCAAAGCUCAAAGUAGCUCCAUUUCGAAACCAAUAACAACCAUAUGAAAAUAUUAAUUCAAGUAAGCCUUCAAGGCAAGUGAUUCAAGAAUUAGAUAGAGUUUAUUCAAGCUUAAUAUCAAGGCAAGUGGUUGUUCUUUUGCAAUCACGAAACCUACAUCUAGUCUAAUCCAAGCCUCCUAGUAACCUAGCUCAUCCUGGUUUCAAAAAGAAAAAAAAAAA